rnacentral:rRNA from 1 species
GACGGAGGGGGCUAGCGUUGUUCGGAAUUACUGGGCGUAAAGCGCACGUAGGCGGAUCGUUAAGUCGGGGGUGAAAUCCUGGAGCUCAACUCCAGAACUGCCUUCGAUACUGGCGAUCUUGAGUCCGGAAGAGGUGAGUGGAACUCCUAGUGUAGAGGUGGAAUUCGUAGAUAUUAGGAAGAACACCAGUGGCGAAGGCGGCUCACUGGUCCGGUACUGACGCUGAGGUGCGAAAGCGUGGGGAGCAAACAGG